rnacentral:rRNA from 1 species
GACGGGGGGGGCAAGCGUUGUUCGGAAUUACUGGGCGUAAAGGGCGCGUAGGCGGCUUUUCACGUCGGGCGUGAAAUCUCCGGGCUUAACCCGGAAGGGUCGUUCGAUACUGUUGAGCUAGAGUGUGGAAGAGGCAACUAGAAUUCCGUGUGUAGCGGUGAAAUGCGUAGAUAUACGGAGGAAUACCUGAGGCGAAGGCGGGUUGCUGGGCCAACACUGACGCUGAGGCGCGAAAGCCAGGGGAGCAAACGGG